UUCGCCGCCGGUGUUGUUGUGAGAAGUUCAUUAAACCUUAUCAUUUAGAGGAAGGAGAAGUCGUAACAAGGUUUCCGUAGGUGAACCUGCGGAAGGAUCAUUGAACACACGAUCUUGGGAAAACUCUGCGAACCGUUUCUUUGUACCCCGAGGGGCCGUGCUGGGAGGCACGGUCGUCGAUGGCCGAGUCCGGAUGCAUGUGCGUCAGCCGUGAUCCUCCUGUUGGUGCGUGGUGGGGCUGAUAGACUCGGGCCUCCAUCGGAAAACCCCUGACACGCAUGGGUCUGCGUUCUUGAACAGGGAGCAGCUGGGGGAGAGGGGUUGCGAGAUGCGGCUCACGCCCUGGCUGGUCUGCUGUCGGAGCCAAGACCCGGAGUGUUUUCCCCUCCUCCGAGGGAUGGGGCCCAGGAUUCUCUGGGGUGAGCCCUCUGGACAGAGGCUCACCAAAUCAGUAAUCCCCUCGUCCUUCGGUGCCCUUUUUUUUCCCACAAGGAACCCUGAAACCGUGAGUUGAGGAUUGAGGAGGACGAGGGUGUUCCGUCGGGGCGGGCGUCACCCCUGGGGGUGGAGCUCGCCUGGGCGACCCCGAGUCCGCCAAAAUAUACGGAAACACAAAUGACUCUCAGCAACGGAUAUCUUGGCUCUUGCAACGAUGAAGAACGCAGCGAAAUGCGAUACCUAGUGUGAAUUGCAGAAUUCCGCGAAUCAUCGAGUUUUUGAACGCAAGUUGCGCCCGAGGCUUGUUCCAAGGGCAUGCCUGCCUGAGCGUCCGCUCCGACCCACCCACUAGCCUCCCGCCCUCCCCCGCAAGGGUGAGAGGCGGGAGGCAAUCCAAGUGGAGUGGAACUGGUCGUCCGGGGACCCGCCCGACUCCCCCCCGGGGGACGAAGUGCGAGGGAUUCGCGGUCGGCUGAAAGACGAUGGCCGUCUGCCAAGCGCGCGCUAGGGUCCGUGGUGCGGCGCGAGAAGGUGCCGUUCGGCUCUCGUCGAUCUCGGGGGAGACGGACGUUCAUAAGGAAAGCGUCGCAUCGCCCCUGUGCGGUCGAGAGUUGGCAGAUCGGUUGGAAAAGACAUGGGAACGAGAGUGGGCCCAGACUCGAUGCGUCUUCCGCCCAGGAGACGCCCUCCACCCGCGAGGGCGCUCUCCAGGGUGGAACGUGCGAGCGGGCCCACCCGCGUUACGUUGCUCGGACCUCAGAUCAGACAAGACCACCCGCUGAGUUUAA
rnacentral:rRNA from 1 species